CUCUCCUAUCGGUCACGCCCUCCAGUUAGCUUGCAGGUGGCUAUGUACUCAUUAGCGUCAAUGGCACUUUCUAUAAGACCGGCACCGGAGGUGGGCUAGUAAGUGAUCCCUAGGCUCCGUACGUCCUCCCUACACUGUGUUCGCGGUGCUGUCACCUAUGAAAGGUAUUUGGCUGUGUACCAGACGCUUCCGGGUAGUGUUUUGUUGAUCUACCGAAGGUCUUGACUGAAAAGACGCCGUGUACGCGCAGGUUGCACUUUCUAUUGGGAGAUGCGUUAAGGUAACAUUGGCUGUAUAUCUCAGUAAGGUUUGCCAUGUAAUAUGUGUGUGCGCAUGUGUACAUAUGUAUGUUUAUAUGCAUGUUUACAGUAACUGGAUCUACUAUAAUGUGUCAUGUUUUGCUGUAAGUCCUUGUGAUUUAACUAGCCAAUAACCUUUUAUUAUGUUGUAUGUGAGCUAUGCUUG